UACAGCGGUCCCAAGCGUUGUUCGGAUUCACUGGGCGUAAAGGGUGCGUAGGUGGCAGGGUAAGUUUGAUGUGAAAUCUCCGAGCUUAACUCGGAAACUGCAUUGAAUACUAUCCUGCUUGAGGGUUGGAGGGGAGACUGGAAUUCUCGGUGUAGCAGUGAAAUGCGUAGAUAUCGGGAGGAACACCAGUGGCGAAGGCGACUUCCUGGCCUGUUCUUGACGCUGAGGCGCGAAAGCUAGGGGAGCAAACGGG
rnacentral:rRNA from 1 species